GGGCAGGGUCUCCCACAGUGACGCCAGUGUCAAUCAGGCAGGAAGAAAAGGAUUCUGGGACAGGAAGUGGAGUGGAAGGCGGGCCUUGACCUGCCUGCUUCUCACUGUCUCCAGCUUUGCUGUUAUUCAUCUGCCCUGUUUUGCUCUGAGCAGUGCUGGUGACCUGGCAGAUGGGGUCUUCGGAGGCCCGGGGGGCUGAGCUGCUGUUCACGCGGUGACCACAGAACCUCAGUUUCCUCAUCUGGAACAUGGGGAGGAUGCCCCCCUCAUGGUGUUGUCGGUGACAAUUCAGUGAGAUACCGCAUAACCCCUGGAAAGGGAUCAGUCAGCGUUUUGGCGGAUGAAAAUGAACAAAUGAAUGACGGAGGAAGCGGUUUGUUCUGCCUUAAAUUUGGAAUUUAUCCUCCCGCCUCCCAGCCUCUUGCUCUAUUAAGUGUGCAGCAGCUAUAGACAGACGUUUCCUGAGCGAAAAGUCAGUGGUUGAAAUGAGAAUGUCAACCCAAAUAC
ensembl:lncRNA